ACAAAUUAGAGUGCUCAAAGCAGGCCGUUGGUCGCCUGAAUACUGUGUGCAUGGAAUAAUGGAAUAGGACCUCGGUUCCAUUUUGUUGGUUUUCAGAACUCGAGGUAAUGAUUAAUAGGGACGGACGGGGGCAUUCGUAUUGCGACGUUAGAGGUGAAAUUCUUGGAUCGUCGCAAGACGAACCGAUGCGAAAGCAUUUGCCAAGAACGUUUUCGUUGAUCAAGAACGAAAGUUAGAGGUUCGAAGGCGAUCAGAUACCGCCCUAGUUCUAACCAUAAACGAUGCCAGCUAGCCAUCCGCCGAAGUUCCUUAUAUGACUCGGCGGGCAGCUUCCGGGAAACCAAAGCUCUUGGGUUCCGGGGGAAGUAUGGUUGCAAAGCUCAAACUUAAAGGAAUUGACGGAAGGGCACCACCAGGAGUGGAGCCUGCGGCUUAAUUUGACUCAACACGGGAAACCUCACCAGGCCCAGACACCGGUAGGAUUGACAGAAUAAGAGCUCUUUCUUGAUUCGGUGGGUGGUGGUGCAUGGCCGUUCUUAGUUGGUGGAGC
rnacentral:rRNA from 1 species